AACGCACAUUGCGCCCCUGGUAUUCCGGGGGGCAUGCCUGUUCGAGCGUCAUUUCACCACUCAAGCCUUCGCUUGGUCUUGGGGUACCCGGCUCCGGGGCUCCUAAAAUCAGUGGCGGUGCCGGCCGGCCCUGCGCGUAGUACUUUCUCGCGUCUGGGCCCGGGCGGCGGCCUGCCAGCACAACCCCCUUCUCUCCAGGUUGACCUCGGAUCAGGUAGGGAUGCCCGCUGAACUUAA
rnacentral:misc_RNA from 1 species